rnacentral:lncRNA from 1 species
GUUUACACGCACCAUUGCUCACAAUGUUAAUCAUCCUCGCUUAUGUAAACAAGAAAUCCACCAAAAAGAUCAUGGUUAUUUCCAGAGAAAAAAUUAAUGCACAAUUACUGGUAACUGAUUACCAAUUUAUCAAGAAUAUGGGAAAAUAAGCUUUUUCUUUUUUCUUGAAACUGCAUCCAUCUCAAAGAAAAUCCAAGAACCCAUCAUUCCUAUGACUAUGGGACAGAACAAAACAAAAACCACAAGUUAAUGAGAUGGCCAAGGCAAUAAAAACCCAAAAAAGGGCCAAGCAGAAAUUCAAAACCUAUCUUUCAAUUACAUUCUAAAACACAAAUUUAAAGCACCAAAUCCAAUCAAAGCUGUUAUUUUCCUAAAACAAUUAUCAAUACAGCUCUAAGAAAGUCACAACCAAUUAACAAUCAUGCCCUAAAGAUCAUUCCAAGAAAAAAUUCACGCAAACACAUGUAAGUACAUCAAUAAAUGGGAAUUUGUAGAUUUGAUCUAUCUAAAGUCAGCGCUAAUUAUAACAGAAAAAUCAAUGAAACUCAGAGAUUUAAAAGACAACCCAUUUCAGAGAAGAUGCUAAAGAAGAGAUUUUGAGGUGAAAGCACGCACCCUGAAGAGAAAACUACGAUGAUGGAGAGCUGUGAAGAUCUCAAAGAGAGAUGGAGGCUGGAAAAGGUUGUGGAAUUUGACAAAAUAUAGUAAAGUGAUGGCGGGGUAAU